rnacentral:lncRNA from 1 species
AUGCGUGCAGCUUGCACACAGCCAAGGAAAAGCUCAACGUUGUCGGAAACGCUUAGUCACACUUCUCACCUGUCUUCUUGCUCAGGUGAAAAAGAGCUCAAAGUAGCCAAUCAGAAUCCUGAAACAGAGCUAAACAUUAUUAAAGAACUACUAAACGAGUUCAGAGGGCUUCACGAGCUGAGGUUAAGAUGCUUGGAGGAGGACACCACUAGAAGGGGAGAACUCCCACAGAAGAAAGUGGACUUCCUGCAGUCUUACGUGAAUGACCUCACAGACCACAUCCAGGUGCUUGUUCAGACCAUUGAGGAUUUGCAAAGGGGAGCUGGACAGAACCAUGAUCGUGUUUUGGCUGUGUCUGGGGUUGGGUUGAAGCCUUUGUUGCUGGAUGAGGUCACUGGACCUGUGGCUCACAUCCCUCGCAGCAGUGGUUCCGUGGACCAGAUGACGUCUGAGACGGAGGAUGUGAAAAUCCAGCUGCAAACCAAUGACACGAUCGUCUCGGAUCUGGAGAGGGAGCUCGCAGAGAAUAUACAACAAAAGCAAAAGACUGCGACGCAGGUGCUGGAAAGCGGCGAGAGGCUGGUGCACCUGCAGAGCGAGCUGUCUUGUCUGCGGCGGAUCCACGAAGACAACAUGAAGGAGAUUGCUGAGAAAGACAUCUGCAUCACCAAACUGCAAGCUAACAUUCAGCUCCUGCAACAGGAGGGGGCUGACACGCGUGCUCAGUUGGAGGCCAGCAGGAAGCAGGUGGAACGUCAGAGGAGGGAGUUAUCAGAGCUUCACCAGAAGGAGGAGACACUUUUGUGUGAGACCAAGGCCAAAAUGGUGCAUUUGAAAGACAAGCUCCGUGACGGUUUCAAGAGAAGGGCGGAGGAGAAAGAGGCGAGGAUUAAGCAACUAACUGACGAGCUGAAUGGAACGAGGCAAAAGUUACAAAUAAGUGAGGGUAUGUUAAGUGAUAUCACGGCUGCCCUGGAUCGGACCACCACCAACCUGAAUGCAGACAGACAGCAGAUCUUAGGCCAGCUGCAUCACACGAGCAAAGAGGUUGAACGUCUACAGCUGGAAUUAGCUCUCGAGCGUCGCACCGGUGAAAAGAAGAUACAGAAGAGGGAGGUUAAGAUGUGUACACUGAUGAAGGAGCUCACAGAAAGUAAGGGACAACACUCAGAGUGUCAAAAAGAGUUGCUUCGAAAAGACAGGUCUUUGGAGAAGCUCCGUGAGGAGAGGGAUGAGCUGAGAGUCCUGAUGGAGGACCGAAGCAGAGAGUGCGCACACCUUGACCGGAGCAAAGCCAAACUGGAGGCUGACUUGGCUCUGAGCCAUGAGAAACUCCACACCUCACACCUUGAGGUUCGAAGUAGAGAUGAGUUAAUUCUGCAGCUCAGAGCCGAAAUGAAGACAGCUGAACAGAAGCAUCGAGGAACACAGAAGCAGAGUUG